UAAAUGUCUAGGCUUGUUUCACUUCCUCUCCUUUGUACUUCUGAAUAUAAUAUUUAAUUUAAUCUUAUACAUUGGAAACGAAAGAGAUAGAAUUUACGUUGGUAGCAUGUGUAAAAGCAAACCAGUUCUGCGCACUUCAUAUGCUGGAAUAGUUACAUGCAUACAACUGAGGAGUUUGAUCUUCACUUGCCUAGACAGUUCAUCAUGGGGAAACUUCGUUGAAUGCACCAAAAGAAACAUCUGAAAGAUAACUAAGUUAACUAGGUUCUGUAUGUCUUGUUAUGCUUGUGAUUUCCGACAACAUUGGAACUUACUUUCAUGGUUUGUCAAAUUGACCAAAGAUGAUGCUAGAAAACUGGUUUGUUAUGAUGUAUGACCAUACAUUUCAAUGAAUUGUUGCUAAUGUUUUGUUAUACAUUUGUGCUUAGUAGAUUUUAGAGUAUCCUCCUAAUAGUUGAGAUCAAACAAGCUUUAUGUAUCUGAGGUAGUGAUGUAAUACUGAGAAAUUCCAAUCUAUCCAUUUCUCAAACUAAAUGAUUUCUAAGAUAUCUGGUAAUUCUGUUCUACAAUGGUUAUUAAAUAAUUUAUUUUCUGAGCUAAAUACUUAGUAAAUUCUAUGGUCGUGUUCUGACUUCACUACUUCAGCACCUUUCUAUCAUUCUAGUUUGAUUUUCUACUAGUAGCUAAAUUCUUAGUAAAUUCUAGCAUUGUUGUGAGCUUUGAUAUAUACAAUUAUGGUUUCUGUCAUCAUAGUGUUUGAUUUGAUGUGUGAAUUUAAGGAUUUUUUGAAUCUACUCUUGGUCUUAAUGUGUCUCUUGGAAGGACUUUUUACCUAAUAGAAUUGACUAUUAGUUUAUUAUCGUUUCAUGAUUUACUUAUUAUGUCGUCAUAAUCUAGAAAAUGUCAUACUAACAUAUGUGCUCACUCUGUGAAAUGAUGGCUGCUAUUUGAUAUAACAGAGAAACUUCUUUGUGAAAUGAUGGCUAGGGGUCUAUCAUAAGAGUAAAACAAGUCUGGACGUAUUGCAGCAGCUACAGUCUGUUAAUAUCAGCCCUGUUAUCAUUUUUGUAUUUUAAAGAUGUGUGUAAGAUAUAGCUUAAUUUCAAAAGAGCUGGUUGUAAAUUUCUGGAAGUUGGUGUCCAAUUAUUUCAAGUGUUGCAUGGAAGACUCCAAUGAUUCCACUACCAAGGUAUGAUCCAAUUAUGCUUCGCACAAAACAAGAAAGCACUUGCAAAAUGUUUCGUUCUUACGACAAACAGCUCCUCGCAAAACAAGCACUUGUAGCACUUAGAAUUGGUUGCUUACAUGUGCUCUGCUGCAUUUUUUAUUUCUAUUGCUCUAUCUUAUCUCUUUGUUGAAAUUGUUUCUAUGGCUUUCCUUUCAUAUCCCAACAGGUUUAUCUGUAAAAUUCUUCGAGUUUGUGAAAAAUGUGUUACAUUUGUUUUUGGACCCGCACAAAAUCUUUUAACUAAAUCCCAACUUAAAAGCUCAAUCUUUCGUCCCAUAAAUGUAACUAAAAUGGUAGCUACCAGAGAUAUUAUUGGAGUGGCCGGGGUUCGAACCCCGAAUUCCACACUUCUCCACAUUUAAAUGUGUGAGAGUCUAGCCACUAGGCUACUUUGACAAAAAAAAAAAAAGAUCUUAAUCUUUCAUUAGUUAAUUUUAAUCACAUAUUCAUAUUGGAUAAAAAUAAUGGAUGAAAGCUUGUCAAAGCAAAAUGACAUUUAAACAAACUGUAUAUAUGCCUUUUCUUUUUCACAUAUUCACUAUGGUU